CUGGGUGGCUCGGUUGGUUGAGCUUUGGGUCUGACUUCGGCUCAGGUCAUGAUCUCUCGGCUCAUGAGUUUGAGCCCCACGUCGGGCUCUCUGCUGUCAGCACGGAACCGGCUUCGGAUCUUCUGUCUCCCUCUCUCUCUGCCCCUCCUCCACUCACUCUCUCUCUCUUUCAAAAAUAAAUAAAAACGUCAAAAAAAAAUCUUUUGCAACUUCACACAAAGCUCUAAUGUCAAGCUAUGUGGUGAUUUUGAAAGAGGGAGAUCGGAAGGGUGCAGGGCUGGACGCAGGGGGGUGGCUGACAUUUUCCUGGUGACAGAAACCUUCCCUGACCGGCUGCCCACACCUGGGGUUUCCUGUCCUGAGUCGCGGGGACCUGAGCAGGUGUACCAGCCACUGGGGCGUUACCCCUCGCUCCCUUUUCAAUCCGGCCCCGCCUCGCUUGCCCGUCUGGACCGCAGUGGCUGGCAACGGAGAGAGUAUCCAGCAUCAAGUGGAAAUUCCUUGAGGUCAGGGCUUUACUCAGCUCAUUUUCUUUGCAUGGCCUCACACACCUUCCUGCGGGCAUAACAGACUCUAAAAAACAUUAAUGGUUGAAACUAAAGUCAGGCUGCUUUGGCAAACUCCCCACCGGGAUGGGAUAAUGUGAAAUUAUAUUCCAAAGCGAGGAUCCUUUAAACAUGCAUGCUAUUUGGAUAUUUGCCAUUUCAUGAUAAUACACAUGUGAAAUGAAUGUACAAUAUGGAUAUAAAUUAAAAAAUAGAAAUUGUUAGGAUUGCUAUGAGGGGUGGUGAUGCAGGGAGAUGUGUCUUUAAAUUUUUGUUUUUAACGUUUAUUUUUUUUUGAGAGACAGAGAGCGACAAAAUGUGAGCAGGGGAGGGGCAGAAAGAGAGGGAGACACAGAAUCCGAAGCAGGUUCCAGGCUCUGAGCUGUCAGCACAGACCGAUGCGGGGCUCGAACCCACAGUCUGCGAGAUCAUGACCUGAGCUGAAGUUGGCCACUUAACCGACUGAGCCACCCAGGCGCCCCUACAUUUAUUCAUUUUUGAGAGACAGAGAGAGAUAGAGUGUGAACAGGGGAGAGGCAGAGAGAGAGGGAGACACAGAAUCCGAAGAAGGCUCCAGGUUCUGAGCUGUCAGCACAGAGCCCCACUCGGGGCUCCAACCCACAGACCGCGAGCUCAUGGCCUGAGCUAAAGUUGGACGCUUAACCGACUGAGCGCCCCAAAGGAGAUGUGUCUUUAUAUCCUUGCGUUGUGAUGUUUAGAAGUGGCCUCAAGGCCUCUGAAUAUCUGUACCUUUACGGAUCAGUAUGGAUUUAAAAAAAUCACCAGUGGACAUCCCAGUAUUGUAACUCUCUGAUUUGCUUUGUGAGGUACGAAGCCCGUACUGAGGCUUUCCUGGGCUGCGAUGCCCUAACUGCCUUUCUCGCUCACGUCUCACAAGUCCUGAGAGAAGAGUGUGCUAUGAAUUCAGGUGUUAAGGUAGCUUGCAAAGAACAAGGGAAUACAAUUUGGACCUGCAUGCCGUGUGGCACAGAAUCGUGAAAACGAUGUCUGUCUGGAAGGGG
ensembl:lncRNA